UACGGAGGGGGCAAGCGUUGUUCGGAAUCAUUGGGCGUAAAGGGCGCGUAGGCGGCCCGCCAAGUCGGAUGUGAAAUCCCUCGGCUCAACCGAGGAACUGCAUUCGAUACUGGCAGGCUAGAGUCCGGGAGGGGAUGGCGGAAUUCCCAGUGUAGCGGUGAAAUGCGUAGAUAUUGGGAAGAACACCGGUGGCGAAGGCGGCCAUCUGGACCGGAACUGACGCUGAGGCGCGAAAGCCAGGGGAGCGAAUGGG
rnacentral:rRNA from 1 species